rnacentral:rRNA from 1 species
AUUGAACGCUGGCGGCAGGCCUAACACAUGCAAGUCGAACGAGCGGCGGACGGGUGAGUAAUGUCUGGGAAACUGCCUGAUGGAGGGGGCUAACUACUGGAAACGGUAGCUAACACCGCAUACCAUCAGAUGUGCCCAGAUGGGAUUAGCUAGUUGGUGGGGUAACGGCUCACCAAGGCGACGAUCCCUAGCUGGUCUGAGAGGAUGACCCGCCACCCUGGAAUCGAGACACGUCCCAGACUCCGACGGGAGGCAGCAGUGGGGAAGAUUGCACAAUGGGCGCAAGCCUGAUGCAGCCAUGCCGCGUGUAUGAAGAAGGCCUUCGGGUUGUAAAGUACUUUCAGCGGGGAGGCGUUACCCGCAGAAGAAGCACCGGCUAACUCCGUGCCAGCCGCCGCGGUAAUUC